rnacentral:tRNA from 1 species
GGGUCCUUAGCUCAAUUUGGGAGAGCACCAGAUUUGCAUUCUGGGGGUUAACGGUUCGAGCCCGUUAGGAUCCA